rnacentral:rRNA from 1 species
AGAGUUUGAUCCUGGCUCAGAGCGAACGCUGGCGGCAGGCUUAACACAUGCAAGUCGAACGAGAAGCUAUCCUUCGGGAUAGUGGAGAGUGGCGAAAGGGUGAGUAACGCGUGGGCAUCUGCCUUUGAGUGGGGAACAACAGUUGGAAACGACUGCUAAUACCGCAUACGUCCUUCGGGAGAAAGGCUUCGGUCGCCUUAAGAUGAGCCCGCGCCGGAUUAGUUUGUUGGUGGGGUAACGGCCUACCAAGACUACGAUCCGUAGCUGGUCUGAGAGGAUGAUCAGCCACACUGGGACUGAGAUACGGCCCAGACUCCUACGGGAGGCAGCAGUGGGGAAUAUUGGACAAUGGGCGAAAGCCUGAUCCAGCCAUGCCGCGUGAGUGAAGAAGGCCUUAGGGUUGUAAAACUCUUUCAGUGGGGAAGAUAAUGACGGUACCCACAGAAGAAGCCCCGGCUAACUCCGUGCCAGCAGCCGCGGUAAUACGGAGGGGGCUAGCGUUGUUCGGAAUUACUGGGCGUAAAGCGAGCGUAGGCGGUUAGUCAAGUUGGUGGUGAAAGCCCGGAGCUCAACUCCGGAACUGCCAUCAAAACUGACGAGCUAGAGUUCGGGAGAGGGUAGUGGAAUUACCAGUGCAGAGGUGAAAUUCGUAGAUAUUGGGAAGAACACCAGUGGCGAAGGCGGCUACCUGGACCGAUACUGACGCUGAGGUGCGAAAGCGUGGGGAGAAAACAGGAUUAGAUCCCCUGGUAGUCCACGCCGUAAACGAUGAGUGCUAGACUUGGGGUCUUUGAACUCCAGUGCCGUAGCUAACGCGUUAAGCACCCCGCCUGGGGAGUACGGUCGCAAGAUUAAAACUCAAAGGAAUUGACGGGGGCCCGCACAAGCGGUGGAGCAUGUGGUUUAAUUCGACGCAACGCGCAGAACCUUACCAGCCCUUGACAUGGGAAGUGUGGGGUUUCCAGAGAUGGAUUCCUUCAGUUCGGCUGGAUUGGAUACAGGUGCUGCAUGGCUGUCGUCAGCUCGUGUCGUGAGAUGUUGGGUUAAGUCCCGCAACGAGCGCAACCCUCGCCUUUAGUUGCCAGCAAUUCGGUUGGGCACUCUAAAGGAACUGCCGGUGAUAAGCCGGAGGAAGGUGGGGAUGACGUCAAGUCCUCAUGGCCCUUAUGGGCUGGGCUACACACGUGCUACAAUGGCGGAUACAGUGAGUUGCUACCUGGUGACAGGAAGCUAAUCUCCAAAAUCCGUCUCAGUUCGGAUUGUUCUCUGCAACUCGAGAGCAUGAAGUUGGAAUCGCUAGUAAUCGUGGAUCAGCAUGCCACGGUGAAUACGUUCCCGGGCCUUGUACACACCGCCCGUCACACCAUGGGAGUUGGUUUUACCCGACGCUGGUGAGCUAACCUUUUAGGAGGCAGCCAACCACGGUAGAGUCAGCGACUGGGGUGAAGUCGUAACAAGGUAGCCGUA